AGUGAACGCUGGCGGUAGGCCUAACACAUGCAAGUCGAACGGCAGCACAGUAAGAGCUUGCUCUUACGGGUGGCGAGUGGCGGACGGGUGAGGAAUACAUCGGAAUCUACUUUUUCGUGGGGGAUAACGUAGGGAAACUUACGCUAAUACCGCAUACGACCUACGGGUGAAAGCAGGGGAUCUUCGGACCUUGCGCGAUUGAAUGAGCCGAUGUCGGAUUAGCUAGUUGGCGGGGUAAAGGCCCACCAAGGCGACGAUCCGUAGCUGGUCUGAGAGGAUGAUCAGCCACACUGGAACUAAGACACGGUCCAGACUCCUACGGGAGGCAGCAGUGGGGAAUAUUGGACAAUGGGCGCAAGCCUGCUCCAGCCAUACCGCGUGGGUGAAGAAGGCCUUCGGGUUGUAAAGCCCUUUUGUUGGGAAAGAAAAGCAGCAGGUUAAUACCCCGCUGUUCUGACGGUACCCAAAGAAUAAGUACCGGCUAACUUCGUG
rnacentral:rRNA from 1 species